GCUAACGUCCGUCGUGGAGAGGGAAACAACCCAGACCGCCAGCUAAGGUCCCAAAGUAUAGCUAAGUGGGAAACGAUGUGGGAAGGCUCAGACAGCCAGGAUGUUGGCUUAGAAGCAGCCAUCAUUUAAAGAAAGCGUAAUAGCUCACUGGUCGAGUCGGCCUGCGCGGAAGAUGUAACGGGGCUAAGCUAUACACCGAAGCUGCGGCUACGUA
rnacentral:rRNA from 1 species